CCUCUUUCUUUCCUCUCUCUGCCAUCUCUAUCUCACACACUUGGCACAUACAAACUUGAAAAAACCUCAUACAAUAACCUCAUCGCCAUCGCCCACUCUAACCCUAGUUCAUUGUAACCCACUAUUUCCUUCUCCUUUGCUCUCGUUUCCGUCGACGCCAUCUCUCUCACACCCACGCACAAUUACAGCACCCUUAUACGAUAACCUCGUCGGCGUUGCCCAAUCUCCCCCACUUCAUUCCCACUCGAUUCUUCCUUUUCCUUUCCUCUCUUCAAUGGACCUUAUUCAUCAUCCUUGUCAUCGACCUUUGGCAGCGCAGGCAAUUUAGCUCAAGCACAAGCCCAAUAGAGAGAAAAAGGGCCACAAGAGAAAAUGGUGAUGACGAUCAUCAACAAGAUAUUGACGAUAUUGAUGCAGUUGAUGUGGAAAGUGGUGAGACCUGAGGAUCUCGAACUUGGGGAUCACGUUUAUAGAUACGGACGGUAUGGAUUAUACAGCCAUCAUGGAAUUUACAUCAGUGAAGGCUAUGUGAUUCAUUUCACCCGAACAAAGAGCCAAAAAACCAUAUUUCCUUCACUUUUCAAGACUAGCUACAAGCAAGAAGUUUCAUCUUCUUGCCCAAAAUGUGGAUACCAAGAGAGCAUCAAUUGUGGGGUUGUCAAAACUUGUCUCAAUUGUUUU